GACCCUGUAGCUUCAUCUUCUGGUGAGCCUGAUGUGCAAGACCAAGUAAAACGAGUCCUAAGCAAGAUAAAAAAGCCAGAAACAAACUCGAAAGAAAAUGAAGGAGUAAAGCUUGAAAAUGUGCCAAGCAAGUAUCCGAUUUUGAGGAGGCGGCAUAGAUUGGUUGUUUUAAUACUUGACUGCUAUGACAGCAACGGGUUACCUGAGAAGAAGAUGGCUCAAAUUAUACAAGACAUAUUUAAGGCUGUUCGGCUGGACACUCAAAAUGCAAAAUUCACAGGUUUUGCUAUAUCGACUGCUAUGCCAGUCUCAGAAACAAUGGAGUUCUUGAAAUCAGCAAAGAUUCAAGUAAAUGAGUUUGAUGCUCUGAUCUGUGGCAGUGGCAGUGAAGUGUAUUACCCUGGAACUUACACAGCAGAAGAUGGAAAGCUUUUUGCUGAUCCUGAUUAUGCCUCUCAUAUUGCCUUUCAUUGGGGCUAUGAGGGUCUAAAGAAGACAAUUUGGAAGUUGAUGAACCCUGAAGGUGAACAAAAAUCUCCAUGUGCUGAGGAAGAUGUGAAAUCGAGCAACGCCCACUGUGUUGCAUACUUUGUAAAGGAGCUGAGUAAGGUAUAUAUCCCUAUUAGUAACAUAAUAACUAAUAGCAUUUUUUGUUUAAAUCUUAUGGUGGCUGCUUUUACAGGCCAAGAAAGUUGAUGAUUUGAGGCAGAAGCUCAGGAUGCGAGGUCUCCGUUGUCAUCCAAUGUAUUGCAGGAACUCAACUAGAAUGCAAGUUGUUCCUCUCCUUGCAUCUCGAGCUCAGGCACUCAGGUAAAGUUGUAUUAAGAUGAACCUUGAUUCUUGGACAGGAAUUGAAACACCCUUGGUGUCUAAAUCUAUGCUUGCCCAACUGUUUAUUUCUCUUAUUAAGGUACAUAUGUUUGACACCCUCAAAAUACAUGGAAGAACAUACCGAUGUCUGUGACAUACUCAUACUCAUAUUUGACACUCACACUCAAGUCCAAGGUCCAAGUAUCAUAGGUUUAAAUGCUCUAAAGGUCAUUCUUUUGAGAAAAUCAAAGGUGAAUAUGGACAUAUCUGUAACAUGUAAAAUGAUUGUAUGUCAACUUCUAGACAAUUGAUAUCGAGAUGUUGCAUUUCAUCUAGUAAGAAGCUCUCUUCUUAUAAGACUUUCAUGCAUGAGAAAAUUAAUUAAAUUCAACAAAUUAAUUGUUGAUUUCAUGUGCAUUUAACUGAUCACUGUACCAUGACUUGAUUAUCAUCACCUAUCAGAUCAUAACUUAUUUCAUUCUGAUAACCAGGUACCUUUUUGUGCGUUGGAGACUGAAUGUUGCAAACAUGUUUGUCAUUGUUGGCGAAACCGGAGACACCGAUUAUGAGGAGUUGAUAGCUGGAGCUCAUAAGACAUUGAUCAUGAAGGAAGUGGUGACAAAGGGUUCCGAAGCAUUGCUCCGAACAACCGACUUGAGAAAUGACAUUAUCCCUU
rnacentral:lncRNA from 1 species